rnacentral:lncRNA from 1 species
GGAUCCUUAACUUUUGGAAGGACCUUUGAGAACCUUCCUGUGCUUCAACAAUUUUGAGAAGCUGAUCCUUAAUCUCUCCAAGCACCUUGUUUGCACUUUUUCUGUAGAAAGAGGCUUUUGACAGAAGAUAAUACUGACUUAGGAACUGGUGGUUGUGGUGAUACUUGUGUCAGUUGUUGGUUCUUAGCUGGAUGCAGCUCCAAGGACAAAAUAAUCAGAGGCACCUGCUGGUAAACUGCUCCAUUCAGGACAGAUCAGAGGAAAAAGGAACAUGUGUAUCUUUACUAGUGAUGGUAGAGGCUGGAGUAAUGUUUUCACUAGAAUGUAACUGUCUGUACUGCCUGCAUUGUAAAAACAGAGGGAUCCCACCGGGAAGCAGCAAGCCUGGUGCCCUAGUGCAUGCUGAACCUGGGCUUACUCUUAAAUUUGCCAGUUCUGCUGGAGCCUAGCGUUGAGUUAACCUCUUCCUGGACAGCAGAGAGAGAUGAGCACCUACAUCCCAUCCCAUUGAUGUCAUUUGAAUGUGCCCAGCUCCUUCAACUGUACAAGGAGACCGAUGCCCUCAGUCAAUGCUUAAUGCCUACACAGGGCACUGUAAGCAUGGACUCUCUGUACAACAACUUGCAUGUUUGGGCUCCAGCUCUGGUUUUAUUUGUACUGGGAAAUAUGAACUGGAAGCAGUGGUAUGAUGGGAGGGGUGGAAAACCCCAUCUGAGUAGCUCCUAAGACUCCUGCCCUCCAAGGAUCAGUAAGACAGAAUCACUUAUUGUGUGAUACCCUGAUUAGAAAAUGAAUUCAAAUAUUCAUCUAUAUGAUUUUCAGACCCUUGGACAAAAGCUUAAUAAAAAAAUAUUUCUGGC